rnacentral:tRNA from 1 species
ACCUGGGUGGCUUAGUCGGUUAAGCGUCUGACUUCAACUCAGGUCGUGAUCUCCCGGUGUGUGGGUUCGAGCCCUGCGUUGGGCU